AAAGCUACAAACUUAAACUACUUCUGACCAAGGAAGAUCAAGAGUUUUACUUCUACUCUCAGUUCAAAGAUUGUGGAGAAGGAAGGAGGAGAGGCAGACUUGAAGGUGGAAAGAAAAUUUCCUUGUAUGAGACUGCUUUCCAAAGGAAACCACUGAAGGCCAUGCCUGAGAAAGGAUUUGGGAUGCUGAUCCUCAGUUUUUUCUGUCUCCUCUCCAUCAUCUGUGGGUGUUUACUGAAGCAACAGGUUG
rnacentral:lncRNA from 12 species